GUUGGAGAAGGAAUUGCAGAAAACAUGUUCCUUACUUUGCUAAGAGGUUAACCAAAUGGACAAAUGGACAACCAGGGAAUUUCCUGUGAGCUCCAUUCUGAGUGGACAAUGCAACAUCCUGGUUUGUCUUUUUGAUCAUGGCGUGCAGACAAUCCAGCAAUUCUUAGGUUCUCUCUCUUGGACUUGUUUUCCAGGUCAAAUGAUAUCUGGAUCAUUGCCUUCAUUUCUAUGUUACAAAAUUUAGGAAAGUCAUUGACAACCAUAGACAUGCCUUCAGGUGAGUAUCCAAAGGAUUCAGAUAUUUAAAAGAAUGGCUAAAAGAAUUAGUUAAAGGAUAUAGGAAUAUUUUUUGAGGAGAAAAGAAAAUUUUGUGUCAAUAGAGCUUUGAGAUAUUUAAAGAACUUUCAUGGAAGAGAAAUUAAACAUGGCUUAGCUGAAAUGAAAAGGGAAACCUAUAAACAAUAGGUCAAAUUCGUAAAGACAUAAAUUUAACCUCAUAAGAUUUUCCAAAAGCUAAAGCUAUCCUGAAAUCAAAGGG
rnacentral:lncRNA from 1 species